rnacentral:lncRNA from 1 species
GUGGGAAUCCUGUCUUAAACUGUCUUUCCAGGCUUGAGGUAGAAAGGAAUAGGACAGUUCAGUGACGAAGCCCCAGCUCAGCUCACAUUAGACUCUCCAGAGCCCUUCGUGUGCUCUGUCCUACGUCGGCUUGGCACGGGGAAGGCCUCUUGUCUCUGAAAGUAACUGCUUUGUCCAUUCCAACGAAGACCUGCAUCUUGGUGACGGGAAAUGACUGGUUCUGUUUUCUUGCAGUCCAACUUUAGCAAGGAAGAUGGCGCUUAAAGCAGGGGGCGGAUUCCAGGCUGCACCCCGGUAGGAGUCUCUGCCGAGCUCUGCCAAAGGCAAGUGAGCUGAGCAGAGUGACUAAGUCAACCGGAGAGCAGGGCACCAGCCAACCUUCCCCUCCUCGGAGCCCCCACUGCCAG